GAGGGGUACUGAGAGUGGCCCCGGUGGACUGUAUACCCUGGAAGGGGUUUGUGCUGGUUAACAUGCAGACAGUGACUCAGCCCAAAUGCUGAGUUGCUGAAAACCAACCUGACUGAAAGGGGUCACCAGAACUAAAUAACGCAGUCACGCCCAACCUGAAGGGGGCAUUUGUGAGAGCUCAAGAUUGUAUCCCAGAGCAGAAAUGGAGAUCAAUGUCUGCUCUCAACAGAAUGGAGACCGAAAUCUGCCCUGUAAAUGAUUACAUUGUGGGCUCUACUAAUCUGACCUACUCCAUGGACCAAGUUCUGCUGUCAGAGUAAAGCCAGAAGAAAAUGUUAACGAUCAUCUCAUCUGAUCUCCGGUGUAACACAGGCCAGGGAAUUCCACCCACUGAUUCCUGCAUCAAGCCCAGUUACUUCUGGCUGAGUGAGAGCAGAUAGUUGUAGAAAGACACCUAGUCUUGCCCGGAAGACCCCAAAUGAUGGCGAACCUACCACGUCCCUAGAGCCGGGGCAGGAACGAGUGACCUAGAGAACUGCAUGGAACAUGCUUCAAAGCCCUGCAGACUCUGAAAGGCAGCGACUGCAAAGAGAAAUAGAGCAGUGAACUACCUCUGCCCUAGGAGUUGAUCUGCCACUAAGAUGCUCCCAGAACACAAGCUAAGCCUUCAGCAACUGGCAAGGAAAGAGCUUGGGCCACAAGCUGCAAACAAAUAUGCUGCUGAAUUAGAAGAGAGUUCUGGGUUUGGCAGAGCCCCUGAAUCCCACAGCUCGGGCACAGGUUUGCAGAAGUGCAGAUACCUACACGUGCACAGAAGGAGCUUCUGGCAGCAAAGUGACAGCUCCGGGCAGAGUCAGAUAAUCCAGCCAUCCCCCGCUUGGUACCACUGCAGAAAUACCUAUGCAGGGAUGUGGAGAUGAUCGAGGCAGCCAGGUUUGGGCCUGGUCAUCCCCUCUGCUUCCACAGGUGCCAACAGGAAAGGGCUGGGCUGCCAAUACUGUAAUAUGCUGCCUCCUGUUCUCAAUCCCGAACAAGCCUCUUUCUGUGUGAAUCGCACCGAUUCAGCUGCAUAUGCUGGGAGGGGGCAAUGCUGGGACAGAGGGAACCUUGGUUCUGGCAUCUCCUAACUCCUGAGUGUUUGACUUUGCGACCUUCACGCUUUUUUAAUGUUUUCUGUGUGUAAUUUCCUACCUUUUUGUACAGCUAUGCCUUUUAUUUGUACUUUAUUUGACAAAAAACUCAAGCUUGAGUUUCCCUAACACCUACUUCUCUUAAAAUGUAGGCCCUGCCUAGUAGCCAUAAGCCAGAACAUAGCAAAUGAGGGUGAAAAAAGGAAUUGUGUAAGCCCUCUUCCCCUGGAUUUUCUUCCACUUGGUGGGGAAGCUUUGCUCCAGUGCUGGCUCCAGCACCUGGACUUGGCUUCUGUUUCUCCUCCUCCUCUUACAUCGACGCCACCCCGGUGGAGGCAGCUGCCUGGUUGGUUCUUCCUCUUUGUUUCUAGCGGCUUUCCCUGGCCUCCAGACUCUCUUUGCAGUGAAGGGCCUGAACAGCCGUAGAAGCAGCUGCAAACCCGGAGAGCCAGCCAGCUCUCUGCAGAGCAGCAGCAGAUGCUCCAAAGGCUGGAAGUGUUCCAUGGACCACAGUAUAGAAGUGUGAGGUAGGGCUUGUCUUCACAUCCUCUGCUGCAGCUGUGCUUAAGUGAAGGCACAGCUAUGCCGAGGGGAGGGAUUCUCCCAUCGGCGUAGUUAAUCCACCUCCCCGAGCGGAGGUAGCUCUGUCUGCGAGAGAAGCCCUCCCAUCAACACAGCGCUGCCUACACUGGGGGUUAGGUCAGUAUAACUUACGUUGUUCAGGGGGUGGAUUUUUCACACCCCUGAGCGGCACCGUUAUGCCGAUAUAGGUCUGUAGUGCAGAUCUGGCCUUAAUUAUGGCUGGGCUUUACAGAAGUAUCUAAGCAAUUUAGGAAAACAAGUCCCACUGGCUUUCAAUAGGACUUGUGCUCCUAAGUCACUUAGGGCAUGUCUACACUCCACAUGAAGCCCAGGCUCUGACUCAGGUUUGAGCCCAAGCCCUGUUUCUGUCCACACACAAAUCAGUCUGACUCGGGUCAGCAAGCACUUAGGACCCAGGUCCUAAUACUCUGCUGGGGAUGGGUGGGUCAGUGCCUGAAUCCUACUGUGACUCCGGUCUGAGCCCUGCCAUUUUGCAGUGUGUACACAACUCAAGCUGCAGACCUGAGUCACAGUGGGACUCGGGCUCUGACCCCCACCCCCUGCAGGGUCCUAAGACCCAGGGUUACAUUCACCAGCCCAGGUUUACAAUGUAGUGUGGAUGCUCAAGCACGGGUUUGGAAAAACCACGAUCACAAGCAUGAGUCCCACAGGCUUGGGCUUAGUGUGCAGAGUAGACAGACCCUUAGAUACUUUGGAAAAUCCCACCAGAACUCUUUACAGCAGGGUAUGGCAUGAACUGUGCGUGCUCUUCACACAUCCAGAACCAAAUUCUGCCCUCCCUGCAGUUAAGAAUCAGAGAGACAAAGACCUCCCCUAAAAGGGGAUCCAGCAGAGGAAAUGGAACUUCUGUUUCAAAUCGUUUUCCAGGCGAGGGAAAAGUGUUAGAAGAGGACACACAUGCAAAUGUAUUUUAAUAUCUUCAGCAGUGCCACUGCGGUUGCAUCCCAGCCCCAGGGUUCCCGUUUGCAGAGGUUGUGUGUCUGAGUUUUUCAUGUGAAUUAUUUAUAAUUGGUAUCAUUUUAGUGAGGCCACGCAGCAUAUAACCAUACGGAUAAACUGAUGCCCUUUCUGAAGGUCCCCCUCAAUUCAAUAAGUAUUCCAUUAAUAUGCAGCUUGUGUGUGC